ACGGCACAGGGCGGGCCCACGGGGCCGCAGCGUGGGCUCUGGAGCGCCGGUGUUGUCCCCGCAGGACGCUGUGCCCCUGGUCGGUCCCACCCGCAGCCUGGCACCGGGCGGCGGGUUCAGGCGCUCCCUGAGGUAACGCGGCCCGUCUUACGCGCAAAGGCGGCAAAUGGGUUGUCUCCAGCCACUCACCCUGGCCGCGGUGCGGAUAGGAACUCCUGCGGUACAUGCAUGGAAGAACAUCUCGACCCCCAAACCGAGCCCGGGGUCGGGUUCACAGCCCAGCGACGGUGCGGGAGACGCCCGGCAGUGAGGCAACGCGUUCUCCCACAGCAACGGGCCGGGCUUUGCGGCUUCCUGAGCGUACUUGGAGGAGAGGACAUUCCCACUGUGCAUGGUUUACCAUAUGCUAAACGCUUCAUCUCUCGACAGUGGUGCAGGACAGUGCUCGAAGCUACAUGGCCAAAGCAAGGUGCAUCUUUCUUUGAAUUACAGCUUCUCCACAAGCAGUGGUCAGCGGCAGGACAUCCUCUGAAAUCCUGGAUAUAAACACUGCCCUGCUAAGAAUGGGGUUACUUGGCAGCCGCUCCUGUUGAGGGUACUAUAAUAAACAAAGGUUGGAAACUUU